UGCUUCCCUCAGUCUCCUAAAGGUUUGACUGCUGCUCUGAAGGCAGCAUUAAAGAUCAGUUCAAUUUGCUGCAGCCAUAAAUAUUGUCUCCUAGCCACUGUUUUAAAUCUAUCUUCUGACAGAAUUGUAUUGCACUUGAUCCAUCUCCCCAGGUUUUGUGCCCUUUGCUAUUCCUUUAAGCUGCUUCAUACAAAAAUCUUAAAGCUUCAGAAUGUCCUUAAUCAUCUUGAAUAGGUAUUGCAACAGGGAUUUUGAUGAUGAGAAAAUCCUUAUACAGCAUCAAAAAGCAAAGCACUUUAAAUGCCAUAUAUGUCAUAAGAAACUGUAUACAGGACCCGGUUUAGCUAUACAUUGUAUGCAGGUGCAUAAAGAAACAAUAGAUGCAGUUCCAAAUGCUAUUCCUGGAAGAACAGAUAUUGAACUGGAAAUCUAUGGUAUGGAGGGCAUUCCAGAAAAAGACAUGGAUGAAAGGAGAAGAUUACUUGAACAAAAAACUCAGGCAGAGAGCCAGAAGAAGAAACAACAAGAUGAUUCUGAUGAGUAUGAUGAUGAUGAAUCUACAGCUUCAACCUCAUUUCAGCCACAACCAGUACAACCACAACAGGGAUACAUGCCCCCAAUGGCACAACCAGGAUUGCCUCCUGUGCCAGGUGCACCAGGAAUACCCCCAGGUAUACCACCCUUGAUGGCAGGUGUUCCACCAAUGAUGCCAGGAAUGCCUCCAGUUAUGCCAGGAAUGCCACCUGGAUUACAUCAACAGAGAAAGUACAUGCAGUCAUUUUGCGGUGAAAACAUGAUGAUGCCAAUGGGUGGGAUGAUGCCUCCUGGGCCAGGAAUACCACCUCUUAUGCCUGGUAUGCCACCAGGUAGGUCAGUGAUGUCGAACUCAUACUGUGGUAUGCCACCACCUGUUGGUCCUCGCCCUGGUAUGCCUCCCAUGACACAAGCACAGCCUGUGACAGCACCAGGCAUUCUUAAUAGACCUCCAGCUCCUGCUGUAGCAGCACCCUCCCCACAGCCUCCAGUUACGAAACCACUUUUCCCCAGUGCAGGACAGAUGGGGACACCUGUCACAAGUUCAAGUACAGCUUCAUCCAAUUCAGAAAAUCUGUCAGCAUCUUCUAAAGCUCUGUUUCCUAGCACAGCACAAGCUCAGGCAGCUGUUCCAGGACCAGUGGGUACUGAUUUCAAACCUUUGAAUAAUACACCUGCAACAACCACAGAGCCCCCCAAACCUACAUUCCCUGCUUAUACACAGUCUACAGCUUCAACCACUAGCACAACAAACAGUACUGCAGCUAAACCAGCUACGUCUAUAACAAGUAAGCCUGCUACCCUUACAACAACCAGUGCAACCAGUAAGUUGAUCCAUCCAGAUGAGGAUAUAUCACUGGAAGAGAGAAGGGCACAGUUGCCCAAAUAUCAACGUAAUCUCCCUCGACAAGGACAGGUAUCAAUGGGCAAUCCAUCAGUUGGAUCACUUGGAGGUAUGAUGCCACCACAACCUGGAAUUCCUCCUCAGCAGCAGGGAAUGAGACCUCCUAUGCCUCCUCAUGGUCAGUAUGGUGCUCAUCACCAAGGCAUGCCAGGAUACCUUCCUGGAGGGAUGCCUCCAUAUGGUCAGGGACCUCCAAUGGUACCCCCUUACCAAGGUGGACCUCCUCGACCUCCAAUGGGAAUGAGACCUCCUGUAAUGUCGCAAGGUGGCCGCUACUGAUGCUACUACACACAGUCUAAUAGGUUUGGAGAUUAAACCUUUUCUCAUCUUGUGCUGUUAAUAUAGCCAAGCUUCCGUCAGUUAAGGCUUCAUUGUGACUUUAAAAAAAAAGUAUCUUCCCACAUGCAAGGAACUAUUGGACAUUCUUAUUUUACAUGGGAAAAAUUUAUUUGGAAUAAUAAAACAGGAACUUUUCCUGAUGUUGCAAUUUAUACUGUAUGGCUUCUUUUUCAUGUUUCAUCUAGGUUUUUAGAAGUGAAGUAUAGUAAAUAUGGUUCGUUAAAUUGUGAAGGCGCUGGAAUUACAUGAACAUACCAUCUUAAAGCCCUGCCAUAGGACAGGCUGAGGCAGAGUCUCAGUGUUGCCCUGUUCAGUCUGAGCAGCAGAAUUUCAGCAUUUGCUACUUACUGGUAGAGAAGAAAAAUCCCACAGCACUGCCAGUACAGGUUAGUUUAAUCUGUAAGUACCUGAUGUUCCUGUUUGAAAUACUGUGUUCAAAUACCAUUUAAAUACAUGAGGAGAGAGUCUUUUGAUCACCUAAAUGUGAAUACGUCUUUGUUGUGUAGGAUAUAUGUUGCUGUCUUCAGUAGUGAGUAAAUUUGUAGAAUUUAACAGUUAAAAAAAAUAAUACAAUGAUUCUAACUACACCUAGGGGUACUAUACUUUUACAAGCACCUGAUUAACGGAAAUGGGGAUUAAAAGUUUUGAUGGCCAUUUUGGCAGUAUUGAGAAGCUUAAUGGACACAUGGACGUUGAUUCAACAGUCACUUCUUCAGUAAUUCACUUACUACUGAGAGAGGUCAUUUUACCAGAGUGAAUUGAUGAUACAAGAUUUUGAUAUUCGCUUAUAUUGGGAAUUGGGUGUUCAUGCCCCUAAUACUGUAGCAGUAAUUUAACCUUGACUUAAAUUUUCUGUUUACAGAUACGUAAUAUCACCUGACUUAAUACCCCCACUCUCAUAUAUUUACUGUAGUAGGCCCUGUGCAUGGGAUUAGUCUCUGAAAUCCAUCUUAGCCCCUUUUUACACUUCAAAGAGCUCCUACAAAUGUUUUCCUCAGAGAUUUUAGUUUACCCCCCAUAUUUAUUGUCUUUCCCUCAUAUUCCUCUUUACUUUCUCCUUCCACCCCUCCAGUAUUGCUUAGCGUGCUUUAUCUGCUUAAAUUUGAAGCAGGUGACUUAAUUGUUUGGAUUUUUUUGGUUGUGCAGUGUCCUGAGCAUCUUGAGUACUUUGAAUGAAAUUAACUUCAGAAGAUAAAAUUUUGUAUGUGUACACAAAUAUAUGGUGACCAUUUUUAGGUGCUCUAUAAAAAUAAACUCAAAAACUACAGCGCAUUAAAGAUCAAGGAAAGCCAACAGAUGGCGGUAGUCAAAUAGAAACUGAAACUAUUGUCAUCUCAAUUUACCUAAUUAGAGCAACAAUCUGAAUAACAAUAUGAUAAACUGACAUUUACAGCUCCCCCAAGUUGGUUUCAGAAUUGAACAUCUUACAUAGGUUUUAAGAAUUCAUUCUCAAUUAUAAUAGCAUGUUCAUUUUUUAUGUUAUAGAAGAAAACACGCUUACUGGUUUUAAGAGCUGUGAUAACCUUUGUAGUUCUAGCAGGACACAUCAUCUAGGGGCUCCUAUUAUAUGCUCAGGAAUUCAAACUGUAAAUGUUCACUUGCCUGCAAGUGGCAGCACACGCAGUUCAAAUUUCUCACUUGUGAUGUGCCUGUUCAGACUUGUCUUUUGGGAACCUGGUGGGUCACUUUUAUAUAGGAUUUAAAAUUAAUCUGUUGCCCUAUAUCUCCUAAACAUGAUUGGGAGUCAUGUGCACGUGUAAAAACAACAGAUUCCUUACUGUGAAAUCAGUGACUAUAUGUAGUAAAGUUCACAAAUCCUUUCUUUUAAUUGAUUUUUAAAAAAUAAUUAUGAAUCCAGUUGCCGUUUGUGGCACCAAAUCUGUCAGCUUGUUAAUAACUGGUUCUUUUGGACUGCAAUAUUCUGUGAGGUCAGCCUCCAGGGUUGCUAAAAAAGAAAUAAUUUAACCUUCUACUUCAUGGUACCCCAGUU